AUUGAACGCUGGCGGCAUGCCUUACACAUGCAAGUCGAACGGUAACAGGUCUUCGGAUGCUGACGAGUGGCGAACGGGUGAGUAAUACAUCGGAACGUGCCUAGUAGUGGGGGAUAACUACUCGAAAGAGUGGCUAAUACCGCAUGAGAUCUACGGAUGAAAGCAGGGGAUCGCAAGACCUUGUGCUACUAGAGCGGCCGAUGGCAGAUUAGGUAGUUGGUGGGAUAAAAGCUUACCAAGCCGACGAUCUGUAGCUGGUCUGAGAGGACGAUCAGCCACACUGGGACUGAGACACGGCCCAGACUCCUACGGGAGGCAGCAGUGGGGAAUUUUGGACAAUGGGCGAAAGCCUGAUCCAGCAAUGCCGCGUGCAGGAUGAAGGCCUUCGGGUUGUAAACUGCUCUUGUACGGAACGAAAAGCCCCGGGUUAAUACCCUGGGGUCAUGACGGUACCGUAAGAAUAAGCAUCGGCUAACUACGUGCCAGCCGCCGCAGUAA
rnacentral:rRNA from 1 species